rnacentral:rRNA from 1 species
AUUGAACGCUGGCGGCAGGCCUAACACAUGCAAGUCGAGCGAGCGGCGGACGGGUGAGACAUGUAUGGGGAUCUGCCCGAUAGAGGGGGAUAACUACUGGAUACGGUGGCUAAUACCGCAUACUUUCGGAUGAACCCAUCUGGGAUGAGCUAGGAGGUGGGGUAAAGGCUCACCUAGGCGACGAUCUCUAGCUGGUAUGAGAGGAUGAUGAGCCACACUGGGACUGAGACACGGCCCAGACUCGUACGGGAGGCAGCAGAGGGGAAUAUGGCACAAGGGGCGCAAGCCUGAUGCAGCCAUGCCGCGUGUAUGAAGAAGGCCUUAGGGUGGUAAAGUACUUUCAGCGGGGAGGCGUUACCCGCAGAAGAAGCACCGGCUAACUCCGUGCCAGCAGCCGCGGUAAUUC